CUUUAUUUUAAUCUGCCUCUUUGCAGAAUAACCCCCUUCAUUGAUACCGAUCGCCCAACAUCACAAGACAUCCCCGUCUCUCAGCGUGGACUCCCCCUAUCUGAAUGGUCCUUUCUGCCUUUGAUGGUCUUGGUUUUCAGAGCCCUAUCCCUCAAACACUGAUCUACCAGAGAGAAGGAGUUUCAGAUAGAUCCAGUAUCCAUCUACACUGCCAAUGAAUCAGGAGACUCGAGGACUUUGGACUCCAUUCAACCAGACCAGUCCACAGGAUGCUGUGAAAGACAACCAACCCAAAUUCAGUUGCAUUUCCACUUUUCCUGAAGCACAGAGACUGUGAUACUACAGCAUUUCAUGUGCUUCUAGAGAUCACCUAUGCUGACACAUUACUAACCAAACUUAUUUGCAAGCAAAGAGCUGCUCAAAACUUGCUUGAAGUCAAGACUCGGUUUAUUAGCCUGAUCCUGCAGCAUCCAAAAUGAAUAAGUAUCAGAAAGAGAAGAGACGCAGGUCCAGGCCAUGAUCCACGUGCAAUGUGCUCUUGGCACACCACAGACAUCUGAGUUCCAGAAGCUCAGUGCCCAGCACAGCAGUCAGCCUCAAGCUUUUCCUUGCUACUGUUCAAAGGAAUAAGGCAGUUUGGAUAUGCAAACCUGACACUGUCUGGAUACGUGGUAGCUCUGAUAUCAAUAUCAAAAUGCCUACUGGACCACCAGAGUGAUAAAACAGCCAUUGAAAAUGGGGCAAGUUUGUUUAUAACCUGUGCAGGACCAUCUACUUAAAGUGUUCCCAUAACAUGGGCCACUGCUAAACGCCUGCUCAGUUAUCUUUGGAAACAGGGCUCUUGCUUUUUUUGCCCCAUUGUUUUCCUUUGGGCUGCUUUUAAAGGGCAUUCAUUUGACAAAACCCAACAUACUAUCAAAGUGGCCUCCUAAUGGGUGUCUUAUACCCCUCAAAAAGAAAUGUCUAGUCUUUUGAAGAGAAUUCUAAUAUGCUUCAAAAAAUUCCUUCUCCAUUUUUUGUUUAAAGAAUCACUUCUUUUAAUCACUACUGAAAAAUAUAAACAAAAGACCACUAUUUUUCAUUUUUCAUUUUUAAAUGGAUUCAGAUUAACAAUUAAGAGGAAAUCUUAUCAUUUUUUUGUGAUGAAAGUUCUCAGGCUGAAAAAUACCCAGUGCUCUCCUGUUAUUGCCAUUAAGAAGCGGGUCUUAGGAGAUAAAAAGAGUAGUGAUUAAGAAAGUGGUCUUAAGAGAUAAAUAGAGCCGUGAUGCUUCUCCUAACUGUUCAAAUGGAGGUUUCAAUAAAGCAAUGCUGACUUUUUGCAGAGUGAUUAUUUUUCUGGUUUUGGGCUUUAGGAUACCAGCCAUCCAGAGAAAUCUUUUGACAUCAGGAUGAGAUCUACUAUAGGUAGCACUUAAUCCUUUAAGACUAAGGGAUUAAGCCAGUUGACCAGGAAGAGAGAUUAGAUUAAACACCUGAAAAAUACAAAACACUUCCAACCUUCUCAUUCUAGGGUUACUCUAUUUCAUAGUCCAUACAAAAACACGUAUGCAGAGUUUAAUUUCUACAUUUGACAGUAGAAGAACUGGUGAGGAGGUGAUGCCGAAAAGUUACAAAAUGGACUAACAAACAUUUAAAGUAAAGGUGCAGAAGAUGGGCAUCUUCAUAAUUCCAGGACAGAGAACUGCAUAUCCAAAACCAAGCAUUAAUAAAAAAUAUGAGAAAGCAUGAAAUGGGUGUGAUGGAUGUGGUGGCUACGUGAAAGACUUGGGAACAGUUGACUUUUCUCUUGUGAAAUAGCAGGCUACCUCUGUUUAUUUUGUUACUAACCUAGUUUUGCGCUACGAAACCUCCCAUUCAGAUGGCUCAUGC